rnacentral:tRNA from 1 species
ACCUGGGUGGCUCAGUCGGUUGAGCAUCUGACUUCGGCUCAGGUCAUGAUCUCGCGGUCCGUGAGUUCGAGCCCCGCAUCGGGCU